AUGUUGGACGUCUCCUCGAUGAGCAUGACCUUUUGCCCUGGCCACGAGUAUCCGAUUAAUCCCAUCUAUCUCUCCGUCGGCGAUACUACGCUAUUCUGUCUCAGCGAAACCUCCUUCGAGAUGCUCCACUGGGAGCCUCUCUGCCCGCCGCCGCUGGGUCAACGUCGCAGCAGGGAGUGGUCGUGGCAACGGCUCGAGCAUCCGCCAUUCAAGGGUUAUAACGUCACGUCCUACGCUGUGCAUCCUGAGGCAUGUACCAUCUUCGUCAGCACCAAGAGGGACGACGACAUUGCGGCGGCCACCUUCGCCUUUGACACGGCAAAGCAUACCUGGGAGCAACUCGGCAGUUGGGCGCUGCCCUUCUCAGGCCGUGGUCACUUUGACCCGCACCUCAAUGCCUUUAAUUCCAACACUGACACCCUUGGCCAAGUCUACUCCUGCUGCUUGCCCAGCUCGAGCACUGGCCACGGCCUCGAGUGGAAGCUCGGCAAGGAGAAGCUGUUCAGCCAGGACCCAGCUGAGAGGCAUGUAGGCGCCACCCUUGUCUACAUGGGCCACAGCAAAUUCUGCCUAGUGCAAUGUGUCUCCAACUCCAUUGAAGGCGAAAGCAAUGGUCAGGAGCUUAAGGAAGAAGAGGGAGAUGUCGGCGGACCAGUUUGCCGUACUGAGGACUGGGGUGCUGAUCCGGAGCUCGAUGAAGAGGCAGAUGUCCAGGAGCUUAAGGAAGAGGGAGAUGUUCAGGAGCUUAAGGAAAAGGGAGAUGAGGACGAGGUAUAUGAUCAGGAGCUCAUGGACGAGUUGCUCUCCUAUGUAUCACCUUUCGCGAGACCAUAG
rnacentral:rRNA from 1 species